rnacentral:rRNA from 1 species
UACAGAGGGUGCAAGCGUUAAUCGGAUUUACUGGGCGUAAAGCGCGCGUAGGUGGCCAAUUAAGUCAAAUGUGAAAUCCCCGAGCUUAACUUGGGAAUUGCAUUCGAUACUGGUUGGCUAGAGUAUGGGUGAGGAUGGUAGAAUUCCAGGUGUAGCGGUGAAAUGCGUAGAGAUCUGGAGGAAUACCGAUGGCGAAGGCAGCCAUCUGGCCUAAUACUGACACUGAGGUGCGAAAGCAUGGGGAGCAAACAGG